rnacentral:tRNA from 1 species
GGUUCCUUAGCUCAGCUGGUAGAGCAACCGACUCUUAAUCGGUGGGUCUAGGGUUCGAAUCCCUAAGGAACCACCA